UGUCGUUCUGUCUCGUGGACGGCUACUUCCCGCGACUACGAUAGUUUAGCCACACACAGACAGAUUCGAAUCGUGCACGCUUGGGCCUUUGGUUCUAUAAUAAUAAUAAUAAUAAUAAUACUAUCAUCGUCAUUAUUAUCACCGCGCUCGUCAUGUAAUUCUGAUACAAUCUCCUGAAUGCAGUCAUUGGUGGUGCGUACGGAUGGAUGUAGUAGGCUAGUUCUGUGAGUGAGGAAGAAAGGAAUCGUUGCGUUGGUUGUGAUCUUGAUCUAGGCUGGCUUAUAUUUGUGUUGAAUGAUGAUUCUUCUGAAGGAUGUGGUAUUGCGUGGAAGGAUUCUGUGCGGAGUGGACAGGACUAUGACGUGAUCUGAGACAAAAGGGCAGGCAGUUGUUGGUGUUUUGGGACAUCGGCGGCUUUUUGGAACGUGAGCCUUCUAUACAAGCAGUGGUUGCUCUCACAGACUGGCCCCACAACAUUCGAGAAACCACGUCACGUCUUUAGAAACUCUUAAAACAGGAAUCGCCUAGCAAAUAUAUACGAACUGCGUCGAGACAUUAUCCUUGCUCAAGAUCUGGAGAACAUUGACGUAAAACAAUUGUCCACCAUAUGGCCUCGGUUGUACUUUUUAAACACCUUACUGCUUUCUUCACAAUAAGACUAACAGCUGGACCCCUUCGUUUGUCAACUGUUUUGUUUGGAUUUUGAAAACCGGAUUUGUUUCUGCUUGACGAUCCCCAGAAGUAAACGAAUCCUUCAGGAAUUUCCACCAAAGAUUUUGUCUGAAACGUUUUGACGGAUUUCUAAUCUCGGGACGCAGAGAGACAACAGAGAACUCUACUACUGACUCCGUUGGCCUUGAAUUUCCUCAGCCACACAUACCCAACAAAAUCAGUGAUAAAACAUCAACAACAACAGCAGCAGCAGCAACAAAGAAGCAGCAGCAUCAACAACAGCAAUUGUAACGACGACAACAACAUCAAAAA